rnacentral:rRNA from 1 species
GACGAACGCUGGCGGCGUGCUUAACACAUGCAAGUCGAACGGAAAGGCCCUGCUUUUGUUGGGUGCUCGAGUGGCGAAAGUGUGAGUAACACGUGAGUAACCUGCCCUUUACUUUGGGAUAACUUCAGGAAACUGGGGCUAAUACCGGAUAGGAGCUCCUGCUGCAUGGUGUGGGUUGGAAAGUUUCGGCGGUUGGGGAUGGACUCGCGGCUUAUCGGCUUGUUGGUGGGGUAGUGGCUUACCAAGGCGUUGACGGGUAGCCGGCCUGAGAGGGUGACCGGCCACAGUGGGACUGAGAUACGGCCCAGACUCCUACGGGAGGCAGCAGUGGGGAAUAGUGCACAAUGGGCGGGAGCCUGAUGCAGCAACGCCGGGUGCGGGAUGAGGGCCUUCGGGUUGUAAACCGCUUUCGCCUGUGACGAAGCGUGAGUGACGGUAAUGGGUAAAGAAGCACCGGCUAACUACGUG